rnacentral:lncRNA from 1 species
UGACUGAGAUUUGAAAUUUGAGCAGCUACAGGGGCGUUUAAAGAACAUUGAUUGAGGAUUUGGAAUGAGAGAGAGAUGAGGGUCCUUUGUUGUUAAUUUGGGAUCGAUUGGUGACAGCGGCGCCGUGUCCGGUGGAGGAGUCAGAAUUUCUAAGAGAUAUUCGAGGAAUUGGGCUAGGUUUUGAGGGAAGGCGAUGGUGGAUUUGGGAAGAGAAGAGGGAGGAGAAGUGGUGGUGUUAAUUUGGCGGUCAUCGGAGCUCCGCUGCUGCCGUAGAUAAUUUUCGGCAGGUGACGGACGACGGUGGCCGCGGAGACGGGGGUUCUCUAGGGUUUGCUGGUUGUGAGAGAUAGGGU